CGACCUUGAAAUACCACCCUUUAAUGUUUGAUGUUCUAACGUUGACCCGUAAUCCGGGUUGCGGACAGUGUCUGGUGGGUAGUUUGACUGGGGCGGUCUCCUCCUAAAGAGUAACGGAGGAGCACGAAGGUUGGCUAAUCCUGGUCGGACAUCAGGAGGUUAGUGCAAUGGCAUAAGCCAGCUUGACUGCGAGCGUGACGGCGCGAGCAGGUGCGAAAGCAGGUCAUAGUGAUCCGGUGGUUCUGAAUGGAAGGGCCAUCGCUCAACGGAUAAAAGGUACUCCGGGGAUAACAGGCUGAUACCGCCCAAGAGUUCAUAUCGACGGCGGUGUUUGGCACCUCGAUGUCGGCUCAUCACAUCCUGGGGCUGAAGUAGGUCCCAAGGGUAUGGCUGUUCGCCAUUUAAAGUGGUACGCGAGCUGGGUUUAGAACGUCGUGAGACAGUUCGGUCCCUAUCUGCCGUGGGCGCUGGAGAACUGAGGGGGGCUGCUCCUAGUACGAGAGGACCGGAGUGGACGCAUCACUGGUGUUCGGGUUGUCAUGCCAAUGGCACUGCCCGGUAGCUAAAUGCGGAAGAGAUAAGUGCUGAAAGCAUCUAAGCACGAAACUUGCC
rnacentral:rRNA from 2 species